rnacentral:rRNA from 1 species
GACAAACGCUGGCGGCAUGCCUAACACAUGCAAGUCGAACGGACAGAACAGGGAAGCUUUUCGGAGUGGAACUGGAAAGUUAGUGGCGGAUGGGUGAGUAACGCGUGGACAACCUACCUUGUAAAGGGGAAUAACCUCGAGAAAUCGAAGCUAAUACCCCAUAAUAACCUUGCUUCGCAUGAAGUAAGGAGGAAAGGCGGCCUUAGCGCUGUCGAUACAAGAUGGGUCCGCGUCUGAUUAGCUAGUUGGUGAGGUAAAGGCUCACCAAGGCGACGAUCAGUAGCCGGCCUGAGAGGGUGAACGGCCACAUUGGGACUGAGACACGGCCCAAACUCCUACGGGAGGCAGCAGUGGGGAAUCUUCCGCAAAGGGCGAAAGCCUGACGGAGCAAUGCCGCGUGAGUGAAGAAGGCCUUCGGGUUGUAAAACUCUGUCCUUAUCGAAGAGAGAGUGUUGUAGUAACUGACAAUACUAGGACGGUAGAUGAGGAGGAAGCCCCGGCUAACUAUGUG